CAGCAGUCGCGGCAACACAAGGAAGACAAGUGUUAUUCAUCUUAAAUCGGUUUAAAGGGUACCUAGACGGUGAAUUAGGCCUUAAAUGGAACGUUUUUACUAGAGUUAUAUAUGCAUGAGGACUGUGUGAGUAUUACCAGAGUAGAGAUGUAAUUUUUUGAUACUGUUAAGACUGGUAAAGGCAAAAGCAAACCUUUAUAUAUUAACUGACGUUGAGGGACGAAGGCUUGGGGCGCAAACAGGAUUAGAUACCCCAGUAGUCCAGGCAGAGAAUUAUGAAUGUCAUAGAAUAGAUAUAAUAUUUAUCCUAUAAAUGAAAGUGUAAGCAUUCCACCUCAAGAGUAAUGUGGCAACGCAGGAACUGAAAUCAUUAGACCGUUUCUGAUACCAGUAGUGAAGUAUGUCGUUCAAUUUGUUAACCCUCAAAAAACCUUACCACAAUUUGAAUAUAUUUAAUAGAUAUAUAUUUUUUAUAUCUUUAUUUAUACAAGCGUUGCAUUGUUGUCUUCAGUUAAUGUUGUGAGAUUUUGGUUAGAUUCAUUAAAUUAACGUAAUCCUAUAUUCUAUUUAAAUAUUAAUAGAUUAGUUCACCGCUAUAUUGGAUAUUGAUAACCGGGAGUAGACUAGGCGUAAUGACCUUAAUAUUGUGGGCAAUGAGACGUGCCACA
rnacentral:rRNA from 1 species